rnacentral:rRNA from 1 species
UACGUAGGUCCCGAGCGUUGUCCGGAUUUAUUGGGCGUAAAGCGAGCGCAGGUGGUUUAUUAAGUCUGGUGUAAAAGGCAGUGGCUCAACCAUUGUAUGCAUUGGAAACUGGUAGACUUGAGUGCAGGAGAGGAGAGUGGAAUUCCAUGUGUAGCGGUGAAAUGCGUAGAUAUGUGGAGGAGCACCGGUGGCGAAAGCGGCUCUCUGGCCUGUAACUGACACUGAGGCUCGAAAGCGUGGGGAGCAAACAGG